CAUGAUUCACACUACAGGAGCAUGUAGGUGUUAAAUAAGAGAGACCCAAGGAUGGAGCCUUGAGCAACCCCACAAUUGAUUUUCAUAAUUACAUAUGUACACAAAAUAAUUCCUAUCUUGCAAGUAACAUUUAAACCAAUUUAAUGGAGUGCC